CAAGACUGACCUUGCCUUUUUUUUUAAACAGACUUUCUUAUAAGGGAGGUUUCAUUCAUUUUCAUUUUUUUAAAGAAACCUAAACGCCAAAUGACCUGCAGAACAGCCCUCUUGAGGCUUGCUGCAGAGACAAGCUAUGGCAAGAGUGACUGAAAUGGGUUCUUUAUGAAGCCCCUUGUCAAUGCUUUCCCUGCAUUUAAAUAUUUUUUGAUCGUUCAACAAACUACAAUUUUAAGGUUUCAGAGACAAGGAUGGGAAGGAUAAUUUCUGUUACAAUCAUUAUUCUGCUCUGCCUUCUAGUAGGUAACAUGAGUACAAUAUGUAAAUAUUGCAAUCUCUCACUCCCCUUUCAUGGCUGCAUUUUGGAUGCUGGCACCUGCUACGUCAAGCCUGGUCAAUUUUGUAAACUUGAGUACCACGAGCAAGGUGGCAUAGAGUGGUUCUCCAUAAAAGGCUGCACUACCAACAGAGAGGUAUGCCAUUCAAAGAGAACAAUCAGCAAUACUGUGCACGUCAUCAAAUGCUGCCACAGUAACAUGUGCAACAUCUGAACUGAAAUCCGCAACUGGAAAAUCUGGGGUUUGGAAGGGACAUGGUUCUAUUUUCCCUCGGGUGGGUCAAUCAGCGUCCAGGGGUUGAUCACAGGACCUGCUAGAUUGUUGAGCAUCCUCUGAAACGGUCCUUUCCUCUUCUCGUCCUGUGAGGUGGUGGGCAGGGGAGCAAGAAAGGCUUUCUGCAGCCACUCUCCCCACACCUACUCAAAGAAUCCCACCGGCCCCCCCAUCCCCCUCGAGCAAUUCCAAGGGUUUGGGGGAAGGGAAAAAAGACCCAGCAGCAACUCUUCCUCCUGCUACUCUCCCCCUAAAGAGAUGGGGGCCAAAUGACUAGCAUGGGUCUUGGUCUUGGUUGAUAUCCUUCCAUAGAUUGCCCAAAUCCAGUCAUACUACCCUGGUUUCUUCUUCACAUUCACAAUGGUUCUAAUAAUGGUAAUAGUGCAUUAAUAUUAGUAUCUUGAAAGUGUUAAUUUGGUUUCCAAAGUGCCCUAAUUUAUAAUAGUUUAUACAGUUGAGGAGAAUCUCGAUGUCUUGAAUAACAAGCGUCUGAAAAGGCAAACUCAUGGCUGUUAUGAGAUGAAGCUUUACAGUGGAGGACUGUCACUUGCAAACAUGGCUUCUCCCAAUGACAAAACACUGCAAAACUCGCCUUUUCCUCUAUAAUGGGAGUUUUAAACACAUAGACUUCACAUAAAGGUAGUCGGGCAAGGCAGUCCAAAUGAAACAAAGCAGAUAGGGAUCUGGCCUGAAAUCAUUUCAGUUUUUUGAUAAUACAGGUCAGAGCACUGCUUUUGUUUAGUGUUUAUAUAUACAUACAUAUUGUUGAGAGUGGUAGUAUCUUUUAGUAUUUAGCUUUAUAUUGUUGUUUUUUUCUGAUAUAGAUCUCACAAGUGCUUGAAAAUUUUUUGUUAAAAAUAAAAAAAUAAACGUUCAACUUUUAUUUCUC